UUACCACUUUCAUUGUUGUUACCACUUUCAUUGUUGUUACCAUUUUCAUUGUUGUUACUAUUUUCAUUGCGGUUACUACUUUCAUUGCGGUUACUAUCAUUGUUGCUAAUCAAUUCUAAAUUAAUGUUAUCCCACAUAUUAUUAAAAUUUUUAUUUUUAUAAAAAUGUUCAAUUAAAAUAUCAUUAUAAUUUUUCAAGUUUUUAUCAUUUUUUACUUUAUUAAAUAUAUCUAUAAACAUACUGUCAACAAUUGAGCAUAAAUAUGCGCUUACAGAUGUAGGUGUAUUAUAAAGUUUACAAUUGGUGACUAUUAAAUAUACAUCUUCAAAAAAGGAAUUUAAAUUAUUGUAUUUUUUUUUUUACAUCUAAAAAUUAUUUUAUUUAUAUACAUUGGUUUUUUUAUAAUACUAUAAUACAUUGGUGCAUAUGUUUCACAUACCUUAUUUAAAAACGCCUUAUAAUUUAAAACCUCUGAAGUUUCUUUCAUAAUUGUUAAUAACGUUUCAUUAAAAUUUUCAAUGAUUUCUUUUAUGUUAUUAUAGGUAUUUCCUUUCUUUAACUUUUUACUACGAUUAUUUUCAUCCGUAUUGUUACUAUCGUUAUGUAAUAUAUUCAUAUUGCUAGUACUUCCUUCUGAAAUAACGCUGCUAGUUUUUUUCAUACCUCUAUCCAUUAGGCUCAUUUUAUUUUCACUUUCAUUAUUGCUUUUUUUUUUAUUUUUUUUUUCUUGUUUUUCAUUUUCUAUUGUUCUUUGAUUUUUUUUUUUUGUUUUUUCUUUUUUUUUUUUUUUUUUUUCUACACCUUUUACUUUUUCCAAAUCGAUAUUUACAUUUUUUUUAGCAUGAAAGUAAAUAAAAUUAUAUGUUCCUUUUCUAUGAAAAGGAUAUCCUCCUACACCUUUACUUUGUUUAACAUAGUUGAGGCUUAAUUUUCGAUCUAUAAAUUUCCCGUUCUUUGUAACUUCAUUUCUAAACGUAUUACUAUGUACCUGGUGUAACCAAUACUUGUUUUUAUUUUUUUUUAAAUUAUAUUUUAACUUCUUUAUGUCAUUAAAAUUUUUACUUGAUAAGCUAUUAUAAUUACUUUUCGACCAACGUAAAAAACUAGUAUUAUAUUGUUGUACCUUUUCAUUAUAUAUUACAUGAUUAAAUAGAUAUGUUGCAUAUGCAUAAUUCUUUUUGCCUUUUUUUUUUAUUUACUGAUAAGUUAUGCUUUUUUUCAUUUACUUCAUCACCAUUAGCGUCAUCAUCAUCCCCACUUUUACCACCUUCAUAACAAC
rnacentral:lncRNA from 1 species